UACACAUUUGAAGACAAAUUAGAAAAUGCAGAACUCAAAUAUGGUUCAGGUUAUCACCACUCAGCCAAUAAGUGGAAAUUUCCGUCCUACAACUGACUGGAGCACUGGUGUAUGUGAGUGUGUUGAUGAUAUGGGAGUCUGUCUUCUUGGUCUAUUUUGUCCUUGCAUUUUGGGCUACAUGAUUGCCAGUGAAAUGGACGAAUGUUGUAUCUGUGGCUGUACUUUCGUCAUGAAGUGUCUAUAGAGCAAAGUAUAAUAUACCGGGGACAAUGUGCGAUGACUGGAUGUUGUAUUAUUGCUGUCCACAAUUAGGAAUGUGUCAGCUUAUGAGAGAGCUUAAAAGCAGGAAGGCAGCAGUCCACUAAUACGAGCCAUAGAUUCUUACUGGUGACUGUCUACUUCUGCUAUCAAGCUAUUGAAGAUGGAAUUUUAAAGUGUCUUCAGAAGUGUUUAUUUACUAGUACUAUUACCAGAAAAUUAAUUAAUCCAUUUUUUCAGGCAGAAUUUUUUUCACUAUGCUGUAUAGAGAUAAUUUUUCUGAAAAUGUCAAACACCUAAAUAUAUAUCACUGUGGUAGUUUUAGCAAUUAAAGUUCAGAACAUGCUGAAGUUGGUUUAAAAUGCAAACUCUUCAUGCUGCAGUCAUUCUAAUCCUUUUUCCAUCAAAUGUUAAUCAGACAGAGACAAAUAUAUAAUAUGAAUUUUUAUAAAAAACAAGAGUGGGCAGCAGUAAUAACAGCACUGGGCAUUCAUUGCAUCGGUGCUCAUUUUUCCUGUAUCAUGACUUCAGUUUAUUUCCUAUCUUAACCUGAUUAACACUGUAAAUGUAAGAUUUGUUUUUAAGAUUUCUAUAUUCUUCUCAAAUGAGAACUUGCUACAUUACAUUCAAACUUCCUAAUAUAGCUCAACCCAUUUAGUUUUUUAUUAGAUCUGUAUGCUCAUUGUUACAUUAAGUCAACUCGAAUUUAUCUGUUCUUCAGAAAUCAUGAUGGAUGAAGUAAAAAAAAAUCAUCAAAUACAAACUUUUCUGAUUUAAAGUAAAUGCUAUAGCCAACUUAUCCCCUGUAUCCAUCUCUAAAAUAUGUGCUUCAGGUUCAAAAAUAGUUCUCGUUCUGCCAACAAACUAGAUUACAUUCUUAAAGUGAUAUUCUUUUGCUAAUAUAUUUCAAAAUCUUUAUUCUAGUUUCCUUCCUGCAUAACUAGUACACCUAAUGUUUAUCUUUUUUUCAAAAUUAACUAGUUUUACUGAAACUUUCUAAUUUUUAUACUUUAUUUUAAGAAAUCCUUUAAAGUAAAAGAGAUUAUUGAUGCUGUCAACUCUAAAGACAUAAUGCUGUUGAACGUGUUCACUUUACAUGUGAAGUCUAUAGAUUGUAAACAAAAUUAUCAAACAUUGUAAUGAUUCCUUUUAACUAUUUUUUUAAGCAAAUCAAAAACUGUCUUCAUUCCUGAACCUAACACUGAUGUACAAACCUUGCUCAUAGGUUUAUAGGUUCAUAGGUAGAUACUAGGCUAUUGGCCCUAGGGCCUAUACAAGCCUAGCCAAAAUGUUAA